ACUUCCGCGAUUUCUGCUACUUCUGCGAUUUCUGUGACUUCUGCUACUUCUGCGAUUUCUGCUACUUCUGCGAUUUCUGUGACUUCUGCUACUUCUGCGAUUUCUGUGAUUCCUGCGAUUUCUGCGACUUACCACCGUAUGAGAAAGUUACAUCUGUCAACACAGAAAAUUGCAUCUCAACAAACCUGUCUUUGGCAAGUACCUGAACUACAUUUCAGUCACUCAGUAAAGUGAUAACUCAAAAUAUCAUUGUCAACAGAUCUGAAGAAAUUGCCACUGCGUCUUUAGACCGUUUUCGUCAGACGAGAGACACAGUUCUGACUCUGAUUACUGGUUGCUGUACGUAUCUAUCCACAUCAAGGCUGUUUUUGAGAGAGACUAGUGAAGAUUCAAGACAGUUCUUAGAGGAUUUGCAGUUUAAAAGUGAAAUAAUUGUGAAAUAAGUGUGUGAAUGAUUAAACUGUGUUUUAUUGAAGUUGUUGUGCGAUUUUAAAGGAAUAAUAAAUGUCAAAUAC